rnacentral:lncRNA from 1 species
GUCCGUCAUUUAUCAUUUUACCUUAAUUUUAUGUUUUUAUCAAUUCUGUAAUUUAAUUAAGUUUAAUUUAUUUUUCAUCAAAGCCAAACACCCAUCCAUUAUUAAAUUAUAUUAUUUAGUUAGUUUUCUUUAUUGUUAGUCUUUUAAUUUAAUUUCCGUCCAUUUCAAUUCCUAGUGUCUAUUUUGAUUGUUUUUAUUAUUUUGAGUCAUUUUAAGUGUGUUUCGAAUUAUUAGAGUUUUUAGCCUAGUUUUGUGUCCUUGAGUCUUGUUUAAUAUUUUUUACUUUGUUUUUUUAUGUUUUUAAGAGGUUUUAGCAAGCCCUCCUAAUCCCCGGCCUAGAACGAUACCCUACUUAUACUUAUACUACAAUUGACAAAAAGAGGGUUUAAUUUUGUGUGCUUAUAUUUUUCACAUCAAAUUUUGGCGCCGUUGCCGGGGAUUAGUAACUUUGCUAAUCCUUUUAUUUUUGUUUUUGUUUAUGUUUAUAUUGGUGUUUGUGUAUUUUACUUUUGAUAUUUGAUUUAUUUUUCUUUCUUUGAUUUUAGGUUCAAAUGGAGCCGAGGGAAAUUUAAAGGAAAGAUGCGUCCGGCUAAAGACGUUAAAUCAAGCGCUUCUUGGGAGGCAACCCAAGCAUUCAACGAAGGGAGACUUUGGAAUCGCUAACCCAAUCAGCUUUGCAUUCUUCCACCCUUAUCUUUGCUGCUUUCAUUUUGUUUUGUUUAGUUAGUUGUGUUAUUUGGUUGAUUUCUGUGAGUUUGUGUUAUUUAGUUUAAGUGUGGGGGAAGGUUAACCAAAGUCUCUUUACAUUAAUUUACAUUUAAAAAAAAAUAAAAAAAUAAAAAAAUAAAAAAAUAAAAAAAUAAAAAUAAAAAAAAAUAAAAAAUUAAAAAUUAAAAAAAAAAAAAAAAAAAAAAAAGAUAAAAUUUAAAAUUAAUGUUAAAAAAAAAAAAAAAAAAAAAAAUUACAUAAAAUAUUUUACAAUAAUGUAAACUAAUAGUAUUCAUUGGUCGGGUGGUGCUUCAGUAGUAGGCGGGGCUUCAGCAGUCGGCGGGGCCACAGAAGGAGGAGGCGGCAGGAGGUUGAUCAGUUGGAGCUUCACUACGCGGUGCCGCUCCAGAAGACGAAGGCAGAUGCGGUUGGAACAAACCCACAAACCUCCGAUGAUCAAGUAAAAUUUGACCAUCGGUGUCCUGCAUCUGGUCAAUCUUCCUCUUCAUGCUGGUGGCAUAGCUGUGUGCGAGCUUGUGCAAUUCCUUAUUCUCAUGCUUGAGCCCUUUAAUCUCUUGCUUGAGACUCUGUAUUUCAGCCACCAAGGAUUCAACGUGACGGGUUCGGGCAUAUAGGCGUUGGGCCAUGUUGGAUACGGAACCCGCACACUGCACACUGAGAGCCAGAGACUCCUUGACCGCCAAAUUCAUCAGACCGCCUUGCGAGCAGUCUGUUAUCUCUGGGAGUGACAAGGUUUCGGGCCACCACCGCAGCGGUCAUGUCAUUUUUCAUCAUCGAAUCCCCCACGGUAAGGGGACCGGUAGGGGAUAUGAAGGAUGGCCGCCAUAUGUUGUCUGGUGAAGGCGGAGCUGCCUCUUCACCAAUGUUCAAGUCAAAACGACGAUCAGAAGGGCCAGACAUUUUUUCAGAGGUGGUGAAGAAAGAGAGAGGAUGACUGAUCAAGAUUAAACAAGUGCAAGAAGGGAGUGUUUACAGGAGGGUACUCAAGUGUGUUUGUGGAACAAGCUUAACGUCUCUAUAAAAAGGAAGAAAUCAAAAGAGGCGCUCCUCAGAGAAGCGUCCUCUCGCAAAUCGAAGAGUCGGGGCUCCGUUCUCAAACGUCUGAUNGGCAUAUAGGCGUUGGGCCAUGUUGGAUACGGAACCCGCACACUGCACACUGAGAGAGCCAGAGACUCCUUGACCGCCAAUUCAUCAGACCGCCUUGCGAGCAGUCUGUUAUCUCUGGGAGUGACAAGGUUUCGGGCCACCACCGCAGCGGUCAUGUCAUUUUUCAUCAUCGAAUCCCCCACGGUAAGGGGACCGGUAGGGGAUAUGAAGGAUGGCCGCCAUAUGUUGUCUGGUGAAGGCGGAGCUGCCUCUUCACCAAUGUUCAAGUCAAAACGACGAUCAGAAGGGCCAGACAUUUUUCAGAGGUGGUGAAGAAAGAAGAGAGGAUGACUGAUCAAGAUUAAACAAGUGCAAGAAGGGAGUGUUUACAGGAGGGUACUCAAGUGUGUUGUGGAACAAGCUUAACGUCUCUAUAAAAAGGAAGAAAUCAAAGAGGCGCUCCUCAGAGAAGCGUCCUCUCGCAAAUCGAAGAGUCGGGGCUCCGUUCUCAAACGUCUGAUUCUUUUCUCAAAAGAGGAGUUUCCUUUCUCAAAAGCCGGAUUCUUUUCUCAAAAGAGGCGUUUCAUUUCUUAAAGGCUGGGCUUGCUCAGAAACCACGAGCCGAACCCCGGAUUUCAAAAGAUCAAUUUGUCCAGACGUGUCGUCACUUGUCACACGCAAAUUGCUUUGCGGAAAUCUUGGGCAAUUUGUCGAAGCACCAAUUCAGAAAUCGAAGAGGGAAAUUCAACAGUCAAAGACACGCUAGCUUUCUCAAAAGCUGGGCUUCAACCCACGGGAAAAUCUUCUUUUCCAGAUUUAUCCGCACGUGUCACAUGCUACCUCUACAAUCGACGAUGCUCAGAGCUCGAAGCGCCGAUUACAGAUAUCAAUGAGGAAUCAGCUUUGCGGAAAUUACGGGCAGCUUUGUCAGAAAGCGCGUAAUUUGUAUUCUUCACCCAUCCACCGGCUGCCGACACUAAGUGAGAGAACAGUUCCGGUUGUGAAGACAAGUCCUAUAAGUUUCUACCUUCGCCUUCCACAGCAAUAGCACACUCUCUCAGCACACCCUCUCAACACCUCUUUCAUCUCCGAAAAUGCAUUCCCAAAGAAUCCUCUCGAGUCACUCUGUGUUCCUCAUUCCUUGGGAUACUCCUGCGAACAACCCAUUCAAAGCAAAAGUAUUUCAUAUCAUAAAGGUUGAAAGCAAGAGUAUCUCAUAUCAUGCUUUCUCCAUGUCCUUCUCCUUGUCUUUGUUUUCCGACAAGGAGAAAGAGAGCAAUCAGCCAGCAUUUGGUAUCAAUCUUCCAAUCUGGAGCCAACUGCCUGGAACCCUUUCCUGAUUGCUUACCUAGCCUUGCUCUCGAGUACUCAUCUUCUUCAUCUUAUGCUUCCGUUUUGUCUACCACAUCUACUUGGGGGACAAGUAAGGGAGGUGAAAAUGAGACCUCGAAGCAUGUGGAGACAAUUCAGCUAGGGACAAGGAGAAAGAAAGCAAGAGGUGGGCACUUGGAAAGAUUGAAGAAAGAAAUAAGGACCAACACCUUUCCCUCGUGCCUGCCCGUUGUGCAGAAGAAACAAGCAGAGAAGAAUGCAGCUUGCACAAUCAUCCCAGCGGAAGGAGUCCGAACUGAGGAACUAGAGAAGCUGCCACAUUCUGCUUGGAGAACAAAUAAGGAACUGCAACAUUCCCAAAGAGCAAAGCUCCGCCGUACAAUAUCAUCAAAUAGUAAAAAGCUAAGUGUCACCCUGUUCAAGAGGAAAGCUGUGGAAAGUCAACAAGCACGACCAAUGAUUAUUUAUUAGUUUUAUUCAUUAUCUUUUAUCGUAAUUUCAAUUUUUCGUUUGCAAUUUUUUUUAAUUAAUUUUCUUGCGUACUUAACUGAAUUUUUCCUUUUCUUUGCAGGAACUUUUGGUUAUUUCCACCCUUGAAGUUGAUUGCAGAAUUUUAGCUUGGGGGUCAUCGCUUGAUUUUACUGCAAAUUAGGGAAGUUUUCAGUCCAAUUGCGUUAUUUUGUUUCUUAUUAUUUAUUUAUUUUAUUUUAUUUUUUUAUUUGCAUUAUAGUGUUUUCUGACAUUGGGGACAAUGUCCAGUUUAAGUGUGGGGGUAGAAAUCUCCAGAAUUUCAUUUGUUUCUGUGUUGCUGUUUUUUGUGUUCUUAAUUAGUUUUGUUUUCUUUUAAAAAAAAUAAAAAAAUAAAAAAAUAAAAAAAUAAAAAAUCGGAAAAUUUAAAAAUCUAAAAAUAUUGUCUUGUUUCCCUUAUUGUUUUGAAUUAGAUUUUUGUUAGUUUCCCGACCCAAUGAUAUAAUUAGAUCAAAUUUGAAUCACGAUUAUCAAGAACUUAGUUAACAUGUGUUUUAUGAAAUUCCUAAUUCUCUUGUUAGUUUUGUACAUGUUUGAUCAUCUUUGAAAAACCAAAUGCACAUAGCCUUGUUAAUGUGAAACUAAAGUAUGACUUAAAGCUUCAUAUGUGAAUUUAGUGACCAUAUACAUCCUAUGUGAGUUUUUGAGCCUAUUGAAAGUGUGCAUUUUUCAUACACUCCUAUUCUUUCAUGUGUGAUGAACUUAUGUGAGAUACAUCUCUAGAACUUGCGUAACGAUCUUUCGAAAUGUUUGUCAUUGAUUGCAUGAACUUGGAAAUGAUAGAGGCAUUAGGUUUACCACUAUGGCCCAAAUAACUAUGUUCCCCAAAGAAAAAUGAUAUCAUUAGAUUGCCAAUUUGAGCCGUGUAUGUUGAGCCUUUUAUUUCUUAUUUCCAGAUAUGUCUACCCUUAUACCUGAACCAUUUUUUCCUUACCCUUUCCAAGCGAGCAAUGCGAGAUUGUCUUAUGAGAAACGUUUGUGAAGUGCUUUGAAGGUGUGUGGCAAAAGAAUAAGUGUGGGGGUAUUUCAUGUUUGUAUUUAAAAAAAAAAAAAAAAAAAAAAAAAAAAGAAAAAAAAAAGAAGAAAGAUUGUAUACAAAUGAAAUAAAAAGUUUGUCAAUUUUCAGUUUAAGGGUGUGGUUGGAGGUGCUAAAAGAAUCGUUGGAAAUAUUGAGUUCUUAUAAAUCUAAAUAGAAGAAUUGCUUGCAAUGUAGCUUGGAACUUGUGUUUUCCUAUUCUUUCGUUUCAAUAACCCUCUCCUUAAACCUCAUUACGUCCAAUAAAAGUCCUCUUGAUUUAAGUUUUGCAAUUAUGAUUGUGGAGAUGAGAUCUUUAUGCAAGCUUAUGGUAGAAAUUUCACAUUUGAUUCUUUGAGCGAAACACAUUAAAACUAAACACAUGUGUGAUUGAGUGUAUAUCCCGUGAGAAUGUUACUAGUUUGCAUAUGAUGAUUUUAAAAAUAAAAACUUGAAAUUGCAUUAGCAUGGCUAUCUCACACACUACACUUCAAGGAUGAUUCAAAGAUUACUGCUAAUAUUUGAAUAAGGAAGAUGAACUUGGAUUAACUUGUUUGGUGCUAGCUAUGGUUCUUGACGAUUUGUUUUCUCGAAUGAAAUUCUAUGAGGGUCACAUAGGGGGAAACUAAUGUUUUUCAUGUUAGUGCUUUUUCAUGUUUUCUUUGUUUUGCUCGAGGACUAGCAAAAGUUAAGUGUGGGGGUAUUUGAUCGGAUCAUAUUUAUAUAUAUUUUUACUUCGAAUUCACUCAUCUUUUCUUAGUUAGUUCCUUAUAUUUUUGAGCUAUUUACGUUAUUUUUGUGUUUAUAGGAUUUGUUAUGCAAAGAAAAUAAAAAUAGCACAAAUGAGUUUUAAAUAAUAAACAGAAUAGUUACUUCGAACAUUAUGAUUUUUUUGUAGGUCAAUUAAUUUAGUUUAUUCAUUGCGAUUAUAAUUGAAGUCAUUAUUUGUCUAUUUUCUGAUCGCCAACUUCAAGCAAAUUCUCUUGCUUGCAGAGUUCCUAAAGACGUGACCUGCCUAAGAAUUGUGGAAUGCAUUCGGGAGUCAAUACUCGUAGUAAGCUGUUUAGAAGUGCAAUUGCCCAUCAGAUGCUUCUUAGCUGUUAUGAUCAUAAGCAAGUGUGGCUUUCCAACUAGACAACAAAAGGGAUCCAAGGAAGUGGAAGGCUGAGAGACAGCUAGGAGGCAGAAACGAAAAAUAUAAUAGAGCAGACGCGGGGGGGAGACAUAAAAAGGAUUGGGAGCUGCUGGGGCAGCUAAGAGAAAGGAAAUAAAAAAUAAAUAAAGAAACGGUGAAAAGAAUCCAAGGCAGUAGAGAGGUCAGAGUGCGCCAGAGGGGAAAGCAAAAAGCAGACACGGGACGGAUUGGAAAAAGCUGCCUUGGCAGCGUGUGAGAGAGUGAAAGAAAUAGAAGGGAGCAGGAUAAUUAGAAAAAAAAACGUGACGCGGAGAGAGGGGGCUGCCUCUUGGCAGCUCGCGGAGAGCACAGGGCAGUGUGCGGAAAAAUAAAAAAAAAGGCAGAACAGGAGAGGUGAGGACGUGCAGAGAGAGCAGCAUCGGGGAGAAAAAGAAAAUAAAAAAAGAGAGGUCAGAGAGGGAAGCAGGAAAGCUGCCUUUGGCAGCUGGAAAGAAAGCGGAAGAAAGGGGCUGCCCUUUGGGCAGCUCGCAGGAACGUGCAGAGAGCAGUGAGGAAAGGUGAGGCAAGCAAGAGAGAGCAGUGAGGGAAGGAGAGGCGCAGGAAGAGUGAGGACCGUGAGAACAGGAAGGCAGUACGGGAAUACAAGCUGCCUUUGGCAGCUGGCAGUUGACGCGCGGAAAGGAAAGUCAGCACGCUGCCUUGGCAGCGUGAAAAACCAGGAAGGCAGGCCAGCGAGGCGCAGUUCACACGGGCGCGAAAGCAGCAGAUCACCUUCUUUCGGUUUAAUCUUUCCAAACUCCUAUUUUAUUUCUGUUUUUAAUAAUGUGUAAUUAAACUUAUUUUGGCUAGAGGUUAAUUCAAAGCCAUGAAUAUAUUUGUAAUAUGAAUUGAUUACCUUCGGUUGUGAUUUCAUAAGUUGUGAUUUCAAUUUACUUAUCCGUUCGUAUAAAAACUGAUUUGUGUAUGUUGGUUGAGAGUGCACGCUUAAUUUACAUGCAUGAAUUUGAUGCUAGAAUAUAAGUGAAUUUCACCUAAUCGUUAUGAACUUAUUUUCACAAGUAGUAAAGGUUGCUAGUCACAAUCACGUUAAGUAAAUUCUUGGCAAGAGUAUCAUGCUUUUCAUAGUUACGAAUGCCUCGUCAAUGCUUAUAGUUUUCACAAAGUUUAAUGAUCUUUGAUUGUAUCUCUAUUGUGCUUUUCACGUAGGGGACUUUUGAAGAAUGUUUUGAAUUGUUGUAUGCGUUUUUCCGUCCAAUUCAAUAACUUAAGGAAAACUUGAAGAUUAAAAAAGUGCUGUUCACGGUUAAUCUGGAGUAUUGAGAUUCACAAUUUAUUGAAAGAACAACUGAAAAUCAAUUUAGGUUGCAUAUGUGUCAUGUGUGGAGAAGAACCCUCUAGCUAGUCCGUCAUUUAUCAUUUUACCUUAAUUUUAUGUUUUUAUCAAUUCUGUAAUUUAAUUAAGUUUAAUUUAUUUUUCAUCAAAGCCAAACACCCAUCCAUUAUUAAAUUAUAUUAUUUAGUUAGUUUUCUUUAUUGUUAGUCUUUUAAUUUAAUUUCCGUCCAUUUCAAUUCCUAGUGUCUAUUUUGAUUGUUUUUAUUAUUUUGAGUCAUUUUAAGUGUGUUUCGAAUUAUUAGAGUUUUUAGCCUAGUUUUGUGUCCUUGAGUCUUGUUUAAUAUUUUUUACUUUGUUUUUUUAUGUUUUUAAGAGGUUUUAGCAAGCCCUCCUAAUCCCCGGCCUAGAACGAUACCCUACUUAUACUUAUACUACAAUUGACAAAAAGAGGGUUUAAUUUUGUGUGCUUAUAUUUUUCACAUCAGGUUUUGGUUUUGACGAAUUUGAAAACAAAACAAGUAAAUUAAAGAACUAAUGAAAUCUGCACGAAUUUGA